CAACGAGCUCAGUGAUGAGCUCGUAAACGGUAAGAAGGCAGCAGAGGUCGUAGUAGUUAAGGGU
rfam:Bacillus sp. LL01 scaffold246.1, whole genome shotgun sequence.